rnacentral:rRNA from 1 species
GACGUAGGUGGCGAGCGUUGUUCGGAAUCACUGGGCAUAAAGCGUGCGUAGGCGGCUAGGUCAGUCAGGUGUGAAAGCCCUCGGCUCAACCGAGGAACUGCGCCUGAUACUGCCUGGCUUGAGGUCCGGAGGGGAGAGUGGAAUUCCCGGUGGAGCGGUGAAAUGCGUAGAGAUCGGGAAGAACGCCGGCGGCGAAAGCGACUCUCUGGUCGGAAUCUGACGCUGAGGCACGAAAGCUAGGGGAGCAAACGGGGAUUAGAAAACCCUUGU